CCUACGGGUGGCAGCAGUGGGGAAUAUUGGGCAAUGGGCGCAAGCCUGACCCAGCAACGCCGCGUGAAGGAAGAAGGCUUUCGGGUUGUAAACUUCUUUUCUCAGGGACGAAGAAAGUGACGGUACCUGAGGAAUAAGCCACGGCUAACUACGUGCCAGCAGCCGCGGUAAUACGUAGGGGGCAAGCGUUAUCCGGAUUUACUGGGUGUAAAGGGCGUGUAGGCGGGAAAGCAAGUCAGAUGUGAAAACCAUGGGCUCAACCUGUGGCCUGCAUUUGAAACUGUUUUUCUUGAGUACGGGAGAGGCAGACGGAAUGCCUGGUGUAGCGGUGAAAUGCAUAGAUAUUAGGAAGAACACCAGUGGCGAAGGCGGCUUUCUGGACUGAAACUGACGCUGAGGCACGAAAGCGUGGGGAGCGAACAGGAUUAGAUACCCGGGUAGUC
rnacentral:rRNA from 1 species